rnacentral:lncRNA from 1 species
CCUGAUCAUGGAAGGAGUCUGAGCCCAUUUUCGAACAAACUGAAUUAUUAGCAUUACGUGAAACUUAGCCAAUGACAAUGAAACAGAGCUAAUAAAAAAACGUCACACCAUUACACAAGCUUUGUGAUUUGUUGAACCAUGCUCAUCAUUUGAAUUACAAUUCUCAAAAAAACGCAAAUGUCACACGUGAACUCCACAAGACAAAACGCCAGGAGUUCGUGACACAAUGUUCAAAUUCUGAAGGCAGAACUAAGCUAAAAAUUAACCCAUUUAAGCUAAAUCACAUCUUAACAAUUGCCAAAUGCAAACAGAACAUUAAUAAUAUGGAUACUUGCUACCCCAAUCCAGCAAAACUAUGACAUUGAGCCAUCCAUUUAAAAGGUACAUCAAUUGUCUUUAGCAUAUGGCCCAAAAAUCGAAUCCAUUGCACUCAAUCAAACCCAUAUACUAACCUUAAAACAAACAAGUAAUAUCAACAACUACAUUUGACGGCCAAACUAAGGCAGACAUUAUCUAACAUAUGAUGUUCAGAACUCAUAUUUGAAUUACAGAUUAUAGCUUGAAGGGCAGUAAAUGCAAUUCUCUAAAUAAAAUGAAACGGGCAAAUAAGCUAAUAUACGACCAAACUUAUUGAAGAAUAUGACUCAAAGUUCCAGAUCUCCAUUUCUUGAUUCCAAAUCAACUUUACACUUAGAGGGAAUGCAGAAGUGUACCUGAGAUUGAGAGAACAAAGAAAUAAAGUGGGAUCAGUAGUGUUAACAACAAGGAUCAACAACAGCAACAGCAGUAGAGCCCAGCAAAACAGAAAGUGAACCAACAGACCAAUUUUUAAACCAGCAGAUAAGAUACAAUAAUCCAAACACUAAUUUCAGUCACUCGAUGGACCAACAGACCUCAAGACAAACUUGACUUCAACCCAUCUUAAAACCAACUAACCAGAAAAUUGUUUUAGCACCAAGAAAACCUCAAAAAUCACCAAAAGAAAUCAAUGAAAUAGUGUUGUUCUAAAGUUUUUCAGCCCUUUGUCUUUUUCUCUAAGAACUUUAGCUCUUGAAGUCUAUGAAAUAGUAAAAUUUAUGCAGCUUCUGUAUUUUUUUUAGAUUUCCAGC